CUAGCAAAUUUACCCCACCCCAGGCCCAAUUCAUAUCAAUACCCGGUCCGGAUAUCACCCCACCCAAAAACGACCCCAUUAAAAUUAAUUGGAAUAUCGGCCGUCCUUUUCUUGUGAUCGAACGUCCCAUAAUCCCCUGUGCAUUCUGAAUAUAGAUGUCCGAAAAUCAUCUCAACCCUAAAAACAUUGCCAUCUUCCUGGUACCAAACCCACCCCUGUCACACCACCGAAUUCCGCCCAACACCACCGGCAGCGAAGCUCCAAACACCCCAAAUUUUCACCACAUAAUCAUCUCUUCCCCCUCUUUCCAUCCCCAUGAUCGAAGGCCUUCGAAUCACAGCCAAUCUCGUCGAAUCCGCCAUCAAAGAUUUUCCGUUCAAGUUGCGAGUUGGCCCAAAUGAAUCCAAAAUCACACCAGGCGACCAUCUUCCUUCCUUCCGUGCUAUUUCUUGCUCAGAAUCACUCAAAUCCAAACAGAAGGGCUUGAGUUGCGGAUCUAGUGUUCAUGUUUUGACAGAGUUCUAAGGAAUUUUAAGGCGUCGAGUUGAUUUCUAAUUGACGCCAUAUGUUCUACAAACAUAUAACGUCAAUUAAAAAUCAAGUUCAAUGAAUUGGUUGAGUGAGGAUUUCCAGCAGUAAGUUUUCCUUCUCUGUUUGGUUUUUAUUUCAUCUUGUUUCUUAUUUGCUGUUUAACAAAAUUAAGGUGUUGUCUGUUUCUAAUCGUUCGUGCUUCUGUUACAAUUUUAGGGUUAGUGUAGUUUGAUUCGUUUAGUGUUUAGAUCUAUUUAGUCAGUCUAAUUUGAUUCGAUUAGGUUUUAUUUGUUUUAAUCACAAGUUCAGUUCUGAAUUCAAAGAUAAUCAAUUUCUGUAAGUGUGUGUGGCAAUUCUGUUUCAUUUUGUAAACUUGGUUUAGCUUUCAGAGUAAAUAUGGUUGCAAGUCUGUUGAACUUUAUUGGUUACAUUUGGAUUGAAUUAGUAUUUUGAUAGUUCGAUUAAUAGGUUUAACUGUUCUUCGAUUCAGAUUAGAGUUAGUCCUGGUUGGUUAUAGCUGAACAAAUCAUUUACUUUAGUUAACUUGGAUAGGGAUUGAAGUUUGGGUAAGAUUAUUUUUAGUCAGUAAUAUUAGGGGGUUCCAAGGGUAGUUUGGGCAUGAUAAAAGGGUAGAAUCUUUUAGAGUAGUAAAAUUUAAAACAGGGUUAAGGGUAAUCUAUGCAAUGUAUAGCUAAAAGAACCUUCCAAGACAUUCCAAAUAUGGCUUUAGUGUAAGUUUUAAUAGCUUUGAUAGUAGUGACUUGAGGAACAAGUCAGAAAUGAGAGGAAUAAAAUGAAAAUAAGAAGGGACUAAUAGUGCAAUUUGAAAAUAUGAAGGCUUCCCUCAUUUGUGCCUAUAAAAGGGCAUUCCCUUUACUUCAUUCCCAAGUUUGGAAGCCUCACAAAAUUCCUUGCCUUUCUUUAUAAAUUCAGAUCUGAAAUCUGAAGAUCCAAACUUGAAAUCUUCAAAAGCAAAACCAAAAAAAAAAUCAGAAAACUCCAAAAAUACAAAAAUAGCAAUGUUUCAUUGAAAAUUCAGUUUAAUUUCAAGUUUUGGCAGCCUAAAAAUUCCCCCCCAAAAAAUACUCCCCAAAUCUUCCAGAUCUGGAAUUAAAACUUUAGAUAUGAAAUUCUCUUAGAUUUUAAAUUCCUCAAAAGAAAAAACCAAAAACAAUAUAAAAAUGACUUAAAAUCCAAAAAAUAUUGUUAUGUUUCAACUUCUUAGGAUAAUUUCAAGUAUUAGGGGGUAAUUUGCAUGUCCUAGUUCAAUCUUCAGUAGUUGAAGUAUCCAGGGUUGAUUUCGAGCAGUUUUGAGUCUAAUUAGGUUGGUUUUGAGUGAGAUUUGGGGCUGUGGAGAUGUGCUGAUGUUUUGCUUGUGUGACCGAGUGCAUUUUGAGUGUUUUGGUUCAAUUUACAUAUUUCGUUUGAGUUCUCAACCUUCCUUGGAUUUCUGAAUUCAUUCUCAGGUGGUGUGAUGUGGUUAUGGGUGGAUUUAUUGGUUAUGUUGGGUUUUAAAAUGCUUCUGGAUUGUUGAACUUAUCUCUGGGUUGAGCUUGUUGUGUGCUGCUGCUAGUUUACACUCUUUGCUUGGCCAUAUUGCUGCUGAUUGCACCUGCUGUCACUAACAUUUCUCUCUUUUCCUUUUUCAUUCCAUAUUCCAGGUACUCAUCUCGACUUUGAGUGAUGUAUGAAGCGCCAAGUUAAAUCAAAUUUGACAGGAAAAAAAUUGAAAUGCAAAGCAUUUUUUGUUUUCCUCUUUACCUUCUUUCAUUUGAAUUUAUGUCAAGAUUUAAUUUGAAUUGUUCAAUUUGAAUGUCUUAUAAUGGUAGAGAGAUUUUGAAUUUGUGUAGCUUGGACAAUAAUAAACUUUUGGAUUUGCUCGAUCGUAUGAAUUGUUGUGUCAGUCUACUAGUUUACAAUGUAAUUAAAAUGAGGUAGUAUAGGUAUAAUAAGAGCUAGCUAUAUUUGUGUAAAUGAUGUUGGGAUCAGUGUAACUGAACUAGUGCGGAUUUUGAGCCAGUGUGGGUUUGUCACGAAAUUGAGUUCACGAUCAGUGACAAGUAGUAAUUCGUCAAUCAAAUCUCAAGUUGCUUAAAGUUAGCUUUGUUAGAUUGGUAAUAUUGAAUGAGUAGCAUUUUGAUUCAAUUAAUCUGAAACUGAGAACUUGGCCAGUGUUGGAAUUUAGGCCCAAGGCCUUUGAUUUGAGUGAGAUGAAAUUCAUAAGGUGUGAUUUGGUUUAGGACUGGGAGCUCACGUUACUGGUCGGAAUGGGGAGGUUAUAAUUGGUUUUGUGGGGACUCGAUCCCUGGCACGCUCAAUCGUUUGAAUGCGAAAAGCCAGCCUGUCAUGGGCUGGAUUUGUUGGCCUGAAGGGCUUGUCAGUUAAUACGGAAGGUUGAUUUUUAAUCAAAGUAGUUAAUUAGGAUUUUAAUUUCUUUUGU
rnacentral:lncRNA from 1 species